CAUACUUUCAGUUUCAUGCAGACUCUUAUUUUGACGUUUGUUAACUGCGCUAAAACCGGAAGUAGGAAACCACGUUAGAAUUCACCACGUUAGAAAAUGCAUUAAAAAUGCAGACAGUCAUUGCGCCAGAGAAAAUGCAUCAUGUCCGUUGACUCCCCACCAGAGGCAUCGCUUUUUCACUCUCUCAUCACUCAUCUCAGGUGUAUGGAUUCAGCACAAUAUGAAGAUAAUAAACCUGCAUACGAGGAACUCAGGAUUUCUUCAUGUUCAUGAAUAGAGAGAGUUUAGCUCACUGUUUAGUUGGAGUUGUUACACCUCAGUGAGAACAGUACAGUGAAAAAGCGUAAUCCAGCUGAAGUUUCAACGUCUUGAGAAGCAAGCAGAGAAGUAAAAUGGAAGUAGAAAGGACUGGCAAUCCAUCUAAGCACAGGGACAACGUAACCCUCAGGACUGACCGGGACGCAGUAGUCAGGCCUUGUACUGCCCUAAAGACCGCAACCGACAACGCGCUCUUCAGGCCAAAGGGGGGAUGUUGGGCCCUCCACCCUGCUAAUGAACCUCACCACAUUUUUCUUCACUGACGACAAAGUAAAAACACAAACAUAUAGGGG